AAACCGUUGGAAGGGAAGCGAAUAGAGCUGACAAUUCCUCUUGUCGGAUUCAGCCGCUCCAGCAUCGCGGCGUACUUGGUUUCGAUCUUUCUAGACGAGCUUUGGACGUUUGCGUUGCCUGAACGGCGCACUUCCGCUUGGCGAAAGUCAACGUCGGUUUGCGUGAGUGUCAAAAAGCAGCAAGCACGGUAGGUCUCAUGAGAUCGGUAAGGUUUGCGUGCAAAUGACUUCAUGCAGACCGAGUUCUGUAGCAGUACGUACCUCUCCCCUCGGGGCAGGGUUGAUGUCUUCGUCGUUGAGUCGGUUUAACGUCGCUAGAUGGACGGCUUUGCCGGUGCGUCUGCGUGCGGCCGCUCAGACRAUGGGGAAAACAGACACGACGUGCUGAGGACGUUGGCAAUUCCGUGACUCUAUCCGACCCGUCUUGAAACACGGACCAAGGAGUCUAACAUGUGCGCAAGUCUCARAGUGAUCRAAACUCCUGGGCAUAAUGAAAGUGAAUGCAGUCUUGGCUGCAGAGAUGAGAGGCCUCGUCGCGAUUGUCGUGGCGGCAUCAUUGACCGACCUAUUCUACUCUUAGAAAGGUUUGAGUUAGAGCGCACCUGUUGGGACCCGAAAGAUGGUGAACUAUGCCUGAAUAGGGCGAACCCAGCGGAAACACUGG
rnacentral:rRNA from 1 species